rnacentral:lncRNA from 1 species
UUUAUUUUGAUUUUUCAAGCAUUGUUCAUUAUUAGUCAUUUCCCUCAUCAGGAAGAUGUUGUGGGGUUGCCCACACAGAGACUGGUGUUCAACUUCAAAGUAUGGCUCCAGCAAUACAGUGGCAGUUCUGCCUUGCUACUGUGCGGGUAAGCCAUUAUUGUGUGAGCUGUCACUUCUGGCUCAAGAAAAUGGAGAUGCUUCGCAGAGGACCUCUGCUUCACUGAGUUCACUGAAUAGCUGGCGUUCACGUAAUGAGCAGAAGCUGAGAUACCUGUGAGAAAAGUGAACCAGCCUGCAGAGGACACUGCGCGUCUGAAUGCCAGCACGAAGGAUGUUGGUGAGCCCGUGGAAGACCUGCAGGAGAGAGACGGGGACAGAGAAGCCCAUUUGCAAAGGGCGACAGAGGGAGCUGUGUCAGCCUACC